UACGGAGGGGGCUAGCGUUGUUCGGAAUUAUUGGGCGUAAAGGGCGCGUAGGCGGCGCGGUAAGUCGGGUGUGAAAUCUCGGAGCUUAACUCCGAAACUGCAUUCGAUACUGCCGUGCUUGAGGACUGGAGAGGAGACUGGAAUUUACGGUGUAGCGGUGAAAUGCGUAGAUAUCGUAAGGAAGACCAGUGGCGAAGGCGGGUCUCUGGACAGUUCCUGACGCUGAGGCACGAAGGUCAGGGGAGCAAACGGG
rnacentral:rRNA from 1 species